rnacentral:rRNA from 1 species
UACGUAGGGUGCAAGCGUUAAUCGGAAUUACUGGGCGUAAAGCGUGCGCAGGCGGUUAUGCAAGACAGAUGUGAAAUCCCCGGGCUCAACCUGGGAACUGCAUUUGUGACUGCAUGGCUAGAGUACGGCAGAGGGGGAUGGAAUUCCGCGUGUAGCAGUGAAAUGCGUAGAUAUGCGGAGGAACACCGAUGGCGAAGGCAAUCCCCUGGGCCUGCACUGACGCUCAUGCACGAAAGCGUGGGGAGCAAACAGG